UGCGCGUUCUCUAAUCGAGUUUCUACCACAAUCCGAAAAACCAGAUUUUGUGGUCUUCCAGUAAGUCGGUCCGUCGUAUUCAAGAUCGUUUCUCGGUACCGCGACAGUGUCCGUGCGAGUGGAUCCAGUGUCCCCAAAUUCGUCGUCGAAAAUCUCCCGCAACAGGCUAGGUUUUGCCUUUGUCAUUUUUUGCCGCAAUCAUCUGCUGAGUGCUGACGAGCUGGGAAAACAAAAAACGUGCCAAUCACCUUGUGAUAAAGAAUAAUUCAAAUUAGUUUGUGUCACAAAACUCUUCAAAUGGAAUUUACUCGCUGGCGCUUUCAUCGAUUUCUAAUACAGAACCUAUACGAUCCUCCAUCGAUGGAUGCAAAAAAACGCCCCUCCAGGUACGCGUCUCAUGGCGGGAUGGGAGAUAAUUCAUUUCCGGGCUUGCACAGUUCCUCGAAAUCGAAAGAUAACCUGGCAUUCCUAAUAACGGCGAAAACAAAUGGCGCGAUAUCUGGAUGGCUGCGAUGCGAAACCUAAAAAUGAAUGAAACAUGUUCACCCUAUUAAAUCCGGUUUUGGAAGCUCGGAUAUUAAAGCAAUGUUGAAACGACUCCUUGAUGGGAUGUUUUUUCACGUUUGUGUUUGUGGUCCAUAAAUAAUAAAAUUUUGAAAUAUAGAUAAAAAACUAAAA